rnacentral:rRNA from 1 species
UACGUAGGGUGCAAGCGUUGUCCGGAAUUAUUGGGCGUAAAGAGCUCGUAGGCGGUUCGUCGCGUCGGCUGUGAAAACCCGGAGCUCAACUCCGGGCCUGCAGUCGAUACGGGCGGACUUGAGUGUUGCAGGGGAGACUGGAAUUCCUGGUGUAGCGGUGAAAUGCGCAGAUAUCAGGAGGAACACCAACAGCGAAGGCAGAUCUCUGGGACGUUACUGACGCUGAGACGCGAAAGCGUGGGGAGCAAACAGG